CACGAGAUGAAGGUCCGAACCGGUGUAGGUUGAAAACUGCUCGGAUGAGGUGUGGAUAGGAGUGAAAGGCUAAUCAAACUGGGAAAUAGCUGGUUCUCUCCGAAAUAUAUUUAGGUAUAGCCUCGCUGGAUUCGUUGUGGAGGUAAAGCACAGUUUGAGUAUUGGGGGCGCGAGUCUACCAAAUUCUUACUAACUCUGAAUGCCAUGACGUUAGAAAGCGGGAGUCAGACUGUGGGGGAUAAGCUUCAUAGUCGAGAGGGAAACAGCCCAGACCAUCAGCUAAGGUCCCUAAAUGCUCGUUAAGUGGGAAAAGAGGUGGAGACGCCUAAACAGCCAGGAGGUUGGCUUAGAAGCAGCCAUCCUUUAAAGAAAGCGUAAUAGCUCACUGGUCAAGUGUCUCUGCGCUGAAGAACGAACGGGGCUUAAAACGAGCUACCGAAGCUAUGGCUUGUAUUAAAAUACGUUUAAUGCAGGGGUAGGAG
rnacentral:rRNA from 1 species